CUUUAUCCAUUUCAGAAGGCUGACAUGUUUGAAGAAAAGAUAUAGAGCACAUACAUACUAUGUCAUGGUUUCAGAACAGUGAAAAUGGAACAUACAUGAGGCUAUACACGCUAUAAAACCAUCUGCUCUGAUUCCUUACUUUUGGAGAAAGAUUCUUCAAAACAAAAAAUUGACUUUCAGGAAGAGCACAGACAAAGCAUUGAAAGCACCUAUUUGGAAGAGUAGAAGACAUUUGAACUUCUGUCUUGUCUUGGAGGUUUCACUAAAAUAGAGGAUCAUUCAUUUUGUAGACAA
rnacentral:lncRNA from 1 species